CCCUCCGCCCUUUCCUUGGUCUACCCCCCCUCAUUCCUGCUGCGCCCAGGCAGAGCUCUCCCUGCCCCAUAUGGUGCAGAAAAGCCCUUGUGUCAGGGCCACAGCCCCACUGGAGCUUGGAAAGCUCCACUUUUGAGGAGGUGGGGGUGGGACAGAGGCUCAGGGCUAGCUUCACCUUCUGCCCUUUAUUCUCCCCUUGGCCCUUCUAUGGGGUCUCUGGGUGUGACAGGAAUAGGAGCCUCCUUCCAGCUGUCUUUCAGGCCCUGGGAUCUGCCACAGCCUCCCAGACAGGCGCUUCCUCUAGCUGAGCCACGUCAGGGAGCAGUGGGGACAGGUCACCUCGUCCCAGCAAUGCCGGCUCUCAAAGAGGCUUAGAUGGAAGACCCCAGUCCCUCAUGGAGAGGCGGUGUCCAGGAUCCUGGAGACUGUUUCCUGCUGCAGGAGGUUUGAGCGGGGAGAGAUCACUCACUGUCACGACCCAGGGGUCUCCAACCCGGGUCUGCAGGGUUCAUGGGAGCAGCCACACUCCAACCCUCCACCUGGAAGCCUGCUGAAAAUUGCUUACCUCGGACCCAUGAAGUUCAGCCCCAGUUUGAGGCUCCACUCCUGAGGUCCUAUUGGAGGAGUCCCAGGAAAGCUCACUGGCCCCCUGGCCCUGCGUAAGACAGCAGCAGGAACACAAAGCUGACUGAAUACCAGGCCUGCUCCCGGUUCUGGACCGUGCGCUGCCUGGUUCUGCUGCCGCUCCCCUGGCUUGAUUUCCUGAGUUGUGGUGGUGAUAGCACGUUUGUCUUUUGCUGCUGAUCUUCCAGUAUCCUGACCUGGCUGACUCUCCACUCAUGUCAUGGCUCCCCAUCCAUCCUGGAGCUGAACACCAGAUGGGAGGUGAUGGAUUGUCCUUGGUGGGCCAUGUUCUUUUGUGUGAUGAGAGGGCCAGGAGCAGAUGCACCAUGCCUGGGCAGGACCGGGCUAAAAAGCCUGUAAUGCUAAGUGAGUCAAACCAGGGCCACAAUACAGACAACCUGGGCAUCCAUGGGGACUGAAUCUGGGCCCUUCACUACGAAGAGCACAACUGGUUCCAACUUGAGUCAUGAUGCUGGUGACCCCUGCCAGCCCCUCUGAGGUGGGUCAGUAUUAUCCCUGUCCCCUGGGGCAUAGGGAUAGAAAGCAACUGGCUGCAAGGUCACACACAACGUCCCUAACAGAGGCAGGAAGGAAGCGUGGGACUGAUACCAGUCCAGCUCCAACCGCUAGACUCCACCCAUUUCCAAAGUCCGAGAACCCAGGAGCCCUGACUCUGACACUAGGCCUUAAAUGACAAGACCAACCUCCCUCCCACUCAGGAAGCCAUAGAAGGGACCAUCUGCUGAGCUCCCCUUGCAAUGGUCUCUGACAGUGGCAUUGCCUAGUGGGUGCCAAGUGCCUGAGCAGGGAACUGCUUGAGAGCCUCCUAGAGACUCGCAGAUGUUUGACUGUGACCCUCAGGGAGCCGUGGCAAGAGACUCUCCGGCUCUAACAAAGGGUUUCUGUUCUCCUAGACAGUCAGCCCGUGAGGCCAGUUUGCAGAAUGUGGAAGAGCCCUUUGGCGAGGCAUUGGAGGAUUCACCAUGAAGGUGGCAGCAGCGGCAGUGCCUGGGGUCCCUAUGGGUCAAGCAUCAACUCCUGCCAAUCCAGGCUAAUCUCCCCCUGCUUUCAGCAGCGCUUGGCUUUAGCUGCUGGGCCUGUGAGCCUAGACCAGGGGUCUCAAACUCAAAUGACCACGAGGGCCGGCUGAGGACUAGUUCAUUGGCCUGAGGGCCGCAUCA